UAUUACCUUCUAGUAACCUUAAGUUAGAGUACAUCGCCCCUUCCCUUGCAAAACCACCAGCAUCAGGCAAGCAGAGCAAAUGGCGUCGACCUCUCGGCGUAUGGUUGCGUCCGUUCUCUUCGUCGUUCUCCUCCUCGUCGCGACAGAGAUGGGGGCGACGAAGGGUGGCGGAGGCGAGGCACGGGCACAGCCUCUGCGAGUCGCAGAGCCACAGGUACCGCGGAGCGUGCUAGAGGGUUUGAUGCUAAAAGUUGGCAUGCCAAAUUUUGGCAAGUACCAAAUGUUGGCUAGAGAUUGGUUGCUUGCCAAUUUUCACUGCCAAUCUCACAAAAGAUUGCUAAUUGUUGGCAACUUUUGAUUUUGCUAAAUGUUGGCUUGCCAAAUAUUGACAAUACUAAAUGUUGGUAGCAAACCAAUUAUACUCGAGAACUGCGCGCACGUCUGCAACACUGAGGGCUUCCCCUCGGGCAAGUGCAAGUUCCACGGCUUCGAAAGCAAGUGCUUCUGCAAGAAACCCUGCUAGCCACUUCAUCGGCCGAUGGAUCGGCUGGCUAGUUAGCCGCGCACCACGACCGCCCUCCUGUCUUCAGAGUGUUCCUCCCCUGUUCGUGUACCGCUUUCCUUAUUCCGAAUCUAGUAAGGUCUACAUGCGUUGUGCAUGCCAUUUCCUUUUU